rnacentral:tRNA from 1 species
AGGAGCAUAGCUCAGUGGUAGUAGCGGGUGUCUCAUACGCACCAGGUCGAAGGUUCGAAUCCUUCUGUUCCUAUUG